AGAACGAACGCUGGCGGCAGGCUUAACACAUGCAAGUCGAACGCUCGUAGCAAUACGGGAGUGGCAGACGGGUGAGUAACGCGUGGGAACAUACCCUCCGGUUCGGAAUAGCUCAGGGAAACUUGGAUUAAUACCGGAUACGGCUGAGAGGCGAAAGAUUUAUCGCCGGAGGAUUGGCCCGCGUUCGAUUAGCUUGUUGGUGAGGUAACGGCUCACCAAGGCGAUGAUCGAUAGCUGGUCUGAGAGGAUGAUCAGCCACAUUGGGACUGAGACACGGCCCAAACUCCUACGGGAGGCAGCAGUGGGAAUAUGGACAAUGGGCGCAAGCCUGAUCCAGCCAUGCCGCGUGAGUGAUGACGGCCUUAGGGUUGUAAAGCUCGUUUCGCUCGGGACGAUAAUGACGGUACCGAGAUAAGAAGCCCGGCUAACUUCGUGCCAGCAGCCGC
rnacentral:rRNA from 1 species